AUAUUAGUCAAUGCUCGUAAGAGUGAACUAGCUAACUGAAAUCACAGGAACCAUUUAUAUGGUGAAUGUAAUAACGUAAGGGAAAAAAAUGAUAUUACCUUACUAUUAGUGUUGUCCAAAACUGGUGCCAGAAGACUCGGUAAGGCCAGAGACGCAAACGUUAGUCGUCCUAAUCAGGCGUAAAGGGUAUGUAGGCUGCUUUAAAUAAGCUAGGAUCAAAUUGAGGAUAAUUAAAAUAAUACUUAGUGUAGGGUUAAAAUCUGGUGAUACUAGGGGGAGUACUAACGGUGAAAACUUUUAUCUAGAAAUGAUUGACGCUGAGAAACGAAGGUGAGAAUAGGAAAUAGGAUUAGAUACCCAGAUACCUCUCACAGUAAACGAUGAAUGGUGGUUGUUAGUUAGUUUUAUUUAACUGAUGACGAUGUUAACACGAUAACCAUUCCGCCUUGCGAGUACGGUUGCAAAACUGAAACCAAAAAAAUUAGUCGGUCUCGAAGCAAACGAAGUGAAGCAUGUUAUU
rnacentral:rRNA from 1 species